UCUAUCUAAACAAGUAGCCUCAUGUAAGUACACUUGUACCAUAAUGGAAUUAAAAAUCAAUUGAAAACUGUUUCAGUGUGUGUUGUCUGGUUUUGCUGACGUUUUCUAGCAGAGAAGUCAUAAAAGGGAUGCAAGCAAGAACACAUCCAGGCUCAUCUAUCCCUGGCUGUAGCCAGACUCCACGGUCCUCUUCUGUGUGGCCCCUGUCUAGAUCUAGGUUUGAUAACAGAGGUUCAGGAGCAAACACUAGGAGCAGCUGGACCAGGACCCAAAGAGAAACAUGCAACUUAAUAAUACGAGCACUCAGCUGAAUGCCUCUUCUCAUUGGACUGCUUAUGCCUUCUUAUCUCUUAGGCUCAGGAGACCGGGCUCUGCUAAAUUUGCUGCCACUGUCCACACCAGGAGGACUGGAGGGCAUAGGGCCCUUGGCUAGCAAUGCACCAGGACCAAUUUGUUCAUGUCCUCCGGCCAGCCACUAAACAAGAAAAUGGCUUUCCAGUGCUUAAACUGACCAAGAAGUUCAAUGUCAUAUCUGGUGCUGAUACCCAAGGCUUCAGAGUGCUCAGUGUUUUUGCUAUGAUGAGACACUACGAGGUCACAAGAAGAAAGUGAUUCCAUGGUGGUGGAUUCCCAGGCACUUCUUCACUUCUUCAGCCUCUGACCAGCUUUGUACUUUGUGCUGCCAUGAUGGGAAUGACCUUGACUGACAGUAUGUUUUCACCAUGGUACUCUCUCCGGCCACAGGCCCAAGGAGAUGAGGGUCAGGUGAUUGUGGGCCGAAGCUUCUGAGACUCUGGGCCAAAAUCAACUUUUUUCUUUACUGCAAUGGAAAACUAACUGAUAGAUGCUAGGAUGGUCAACUGCAGUACAGAAAAAGACACCAUCAUCUGCCAGCUGGAGAGAGGGUUCCCCGCUGCCUUGGAAAUACGCUGCCCUGUGGUCAAGUGACUAGGACUCAAGGAGAGCACCUGGGAGUUGAGGCUGACCCCAGUUAUCAACAGCAGGAAGUCUGGCAUUCAAUCUCUGAGGGAUAACUGCAAGGAACUGAACAUUGCAGCAACUACAUGAGUGUGGAAAAGAACUCCAAGCUUGACCCAAGACCACAACUCUUACCAGGCCCUUGAUUUCAGAGUGGAGGGCUUCAGCAACAUGUGCCUGGACUCCCGACCUGUGCACAUGGGAUGUAAUAAAUAUGUGUUGCUUAA